rnacentral:rRNA from 1 species
AAAGCCAAUCUCAGUUCGGAUUGUAGGCUGCAACUCGCCUACAUGAAGUUGGAAUCGCUAGUAAUCGCGCAUCAGAAUGUCGCGGUGAAUACGUUCCCGGGUCUUGUACACACCGCCCGUCACACCACGAGAGUUUACAACACCCGAAGUCAGUGGCCUAACCGCAAGGAGGGAGCUGCCUAAGGUGGGGUAGAUGAUUGGGGUGAAGUCGUAACAAGGUACC